rnacentral:lncRNA from 1 species
UUGUUGGGUUAAUUCGGUUAGGUUAAUUAGUAGGUAUGAGACUAUUAAUUAAUGAAUUAAAAAAAAAAAAAAAACGGGUCGGGUCUUUUCAAUUUAGAUCAGUUGGUGACAACUUCCACGGUGGGAAGGUUGUUAAAGGGUGAGGACCUGGGUUCGAGGAACGCCAGGCGCACCAAUAACCUACCUAGUGGGCCAGGGGGCUGCGAGCAAGUGGGCUGCGCAGUUUGGGGGCCCACAGGAGAGAGGUUAGGGUCGAUGCGCUGCAG